CUUAUAUUCUGUAGCAAGGUUAACCGUAUAGGGGAGCCGAAGGGAAACCGAGUCUUAACUGGGCGUUAAGUUGCAGGGUAUAGACCCGAAACCCGGUGAUCUAGCCAUGGGCAGGUUGAAGGUUGGGUAACACUAACUGGAGGACCGAACCGACUAAUGUUGAAAAAUUAGCGGAUGACUUGUGGCUGGGGGUGAAAGGCCAAUCAAACCGGGAGAUAGCUGGUUCUCCCCGAAAGCUAUUUAGGUAGCGCCUCGUGAACUCAUCUUCGGGGGUAGAGCACUGUUUCGGCUAGGGGGGCAUCCCGACUUACCAACCCGAUGCAAACUGCGAAUACCGAAGAAUGUUAUCACGGGAGACACACGGCGGGUGCUAACGUCCGUCGUGAAGAGGGAAACAACCCAGACCGCCAGCUAAGGUCCCAAAGUCACAGUUAAGUGGGAAACGAUGUGGGAAGGCUCAGACAGCCAGGAUGUUGGCUUAGAAGCAGCCAUCAUUUAAAGAAAGCGUAAUAGCUCACUGGUCGAGUCGGCCUGCGCGGAAGAUGUAACGGGGCUAAACUGUGCACCGAAGCUGCGGCAGCGACGCUUAUGCGUUGUUGGGUAGGGGAGCGUUCUGUAAGCCUGCGAAGGUGUCCUGUGAGGGAUGCUGGAGGUAUCAGAAGUGCGAAUGCUGACAUAAGUAACGAUAA
rnacentral:rRNA from 1 species